AGGUUGGAGUCAUACAGAGCCUGCAGCAGCCUCCGAAACCCCACAGCCUCCUGCGGAAAACUCGCCUGCCACAUCAAAAGUCGUCAUUGCCACCGCAGACACCCCCACCGAGUCCUCUGGAAACCUAUCCGAGGAGAUGUACACCCUGACACUCAUCCCUGUCCCAGCUGCAAGCACCUAUUCACCCCCUUCACCAUCGGCUGCGUCCC